AAUGAUCUUUUAGCUUCCAUUCUAUAAAACUACAAAAAUGUCUGUCUUCCAUGACUGUCAAUUUUUCCAAAAUGUUUUUAUGGAGUCUGUGACAUUCUCUGCACUCAUCAAGGAUGUCAUCAGCGCCAGCAACCAGAGCUGACUGUAGACAAGCCAUUUAAAUGAGAAGUUUCUGCCACAGUCAUAAUGUUCAUGCUUACAUUCUUUGUAAGAAAGAGAGAGGAGAAGGGAUAACAGAGAAGGAUGAAGGAAGAAAGAAGAAGGAAAAAGAAGAGAAGAAAAAAGUAUUUUCAUGGAUAAUUAUUAAGAUUUGAAUGUAGCUGUAUUUUCAUCUCUUACAAGAAAAAAAUCCAAUUCUAUACAUGACUUGUAUAGAAUAGCACUUCAAGGCUAGCACUCCAAAGCAUGGAAUUAAAUAUUGAUGUCACAAUAUUUUCCCCUAGAAAAUUGAAUUGAAUGAAUUCGGCACAAUGCAAUAUUGCUACAUUCACUUUUAGUCAUCUUUCAUAUUUUUGCUUAGCUGAAAAGAGAAAAUUAUUCUGUGGAGCUGAAUCCAAACACAAGACAAAUGUAUUUAUUGCACUUGCUUUAUAGAUGUACAGGUAAAUUACUUUGAAUGCCCAUGUAAGAGAAAGCGAUUUGUUUAAAUGGAAAAGCUUUUAUGUUUAUUCUGUGAGACAUAAAAAUGUAUCACUGAACACAUGAUUAUGCUGAAGUAAGAGGUAUUUGAAGCACACAAACAUGCCACAUCCCCUGAACAGUCAGGGUUCUUUCAUGCAUUUGCAAACACUCAAUAUUUUAGAGGUGUGUCAAGUCCUAAUUCAUGUUCUUUUUUAGUAACAUUGCCCAAGAAGCAGCACUUUUAAAAAAGCUUUUAGCUACAAGUGAAGCCUCACUGACAAAAAGCAGAAAGCAACUCUGUGUUUUAAUCAAGAGCUAUGUUGAAAGUCCCCAGCUUUCAUAAACUGCAAUAUCUGGAAUCAUGAUCUGACCCCACAGACUCCAUGAGAUGACAGAGGGCAGUGGAGCAGAGCAGGGAGCUCAGCCCUGCUCUCAGCCAUCUCCAGCUCCUGCAGCCACAACCCUGUCUGCAAAGACAAGGAAACCUGCCUUCUAGAGAAACAGCAUUAUUUAGUCCAGUAUAGGGCAACUCAAACACAGCUCUAUUACUUCAGGACUCAAAAUCCUAUCUUUGCGUGUUAGUUUACUUUAAAGCCAUUUGCAUAUCGCAGUGAUUAGUCUAGACACAUUCUCUGGGUUUUAGAAACCACAACCAAGAAAAUAUCAACAUUUGCACAUACACUUAGACACAUAAAUGCACUUUGAAAUCCAGCCCUGAGACUUUUGCCUGUGGCUCAUGUCAGCUGGUUGAGCUCCAGACCAGCAGAAGUGUUCACCAGCUCCUCUGGGUGUGUGCAUCAGCUGCCAACAGGUCAGACUGGUGCCAUUCCCAGGAGACACCCAGAGCAGUGCAGAUUGUGUGCCAGCUCCUCUCCCAGGCUGAAAUCAAUGAGAGUGAUAAUAUGUUCCAUUAAUAAAGAUAAUGCCCAGAGACUUCA
rnacentral:lncRNA from 1 species